AGUGAACGCUGGCGGCAGGCCUAACACAUGCAAGUCGAGCGGCAGCGCGUCCGACCACCCUCGGGUGGUCGGAUGGCGGCGAGCGGCGGACGGGUGAAGAAUGCAUCGGAAUCUGCCUCGUUGUGGGGGAUAACGUAGGGAAACUUACGCUAAUACCGCAUACGACCUACGGGUGAAAGUGGGGGACCUUCGGGCCUCACGCGAUGAGAUGAGCCGAUGCCGGAUUAGCUAGUUGGCGGGGUAAAGGCCCACCAAGGCGACGAUCCGUAGCUGGUCUGAGAGGAUGAUCAGCCACACUGGAACUGAGACACGGUCCAGACUCCUACGGGAGGCAGCAGUGGGGAAUAUUGGACAAUGGGGGGCAACCCUGAUCCAGCCAUGCCGCGUGUGUGAAGAAGGCCUCGGUUGUAAG
rnacentral:rRNA from 1 species